CGGACUCACUAGGAGGACCUAGACUCUUUCAGCUUGAACUGUUAACCAAUGGUGGAAAUGCAAGAAUGCUGAAGUUGUGCCUUCAGAGCCAAUAGAGUGGAUUUGUGUGUCCCACAUGACUGUGUUUCCCCUGUCUUUCACAUGGGCAGUAUUUAGUUCAAUUCAGAACUGCAGAUAGUAUAGCGUGCAGAGCAGCAAUGGGAUGUCUGAGCACAAGUAGCUGACUUCCAGGCGACUUCAGGAAGCACAUUUGUACAUUUCUCCUGAAUUAUCUGGGAUUCUGCACCCUUGACAUUCUCCGACCCUCCCUGUCGCUGCAGAAGGAGACAGCGACCUGCACAGCACAACAAAACUAUAAAUCACCACAGAGCUACAGAUCAGCAGUGAAGAGAGCUGAGGGCAAUUUGACCAUCAUCAUCUGUGUCAGUUCCCCAGAAGUCGAUGAAACACGUAAUCAGGUCUCCAAGACCACAAGACUCAGAAGAUCACUGUGGGCCAACCCAUUCUGUUGACAUGACACAAAGAACAGCCCAGUUUGGUAUUCCUUUGGCCCUGAAGGAGUCUCACAUCAGAAGAACAGAAGAUUAGACUUCUACAGACUCUGAGAGACAGGGAGUGGAGCCAGCAGCAAUAUUUAGCAGAGUGACUGAUUUCUGGCACCAUCUAGCUUCUCUGCAACAGGAAUCUGGCAGCCUGAUGAGCAUCCAGGUGUCAGCUGGUGUAAACCCAGAUGCCACUGACGUCAAUGGAGCUGUCAGUUUACUCUAGCUGAGAAUCUGAUCCCAAGUGUGCUACUGCCAUUUUUAGACGCUGCCAAUGGAAUUGACUUUUGCAAGACAAUUAAAAAAAACACAUCCACACAACAUUGCAUUUCUUCCUGUCCCCGAGUGUUUAACUGGAAGUCUGUUGACAGACUGUGGGAGAGGGCAAGUGGGAGGUGGAAGUAGCAAACAACUGCAUCCAUGAGAUAACUUUGCAGUAUCAGUACGAACACUGUUCCGUUGUCUUCCUUUAUACAAACAAAUAUUUGGCUUCAAAAAGUUUUAACUCCACCUACCACUAACAAACAAUUCCAUGUCAGCGAAAGAAAAAUGAUGCUGUAAACCACGUGAAGUACCUACCUCAUAAAUUUGCUAACAUAGUACUUUCAGCAGUACACAUUCUGGAUAGAUUGUUUUAAUGCAAUAUUAGAAAAAAGUACCUAAAGCUACAAGUGCCCCAAGCCUGAGUUCUGUGUAUUCACCUAAGUAUUUGUUCCUAAGCAAUCUCCCUGCUGUACCAGCAGAAAGAUUGGUAACAGUUCUAAGGCAGCUGUUUCAAGUGGCCUGGAAGCCAGAAUUUGAUCUGGCUGACAUCUUUCAUAUCUCAUCGAGCAUAUGUGUGGGCAAGAGAGGAGGAAGAAAGGAAAAGGUGGGGCAAUAAGCAGGGCAGAGUACUACUUGACAGCACCACCAUUUCUAAGCAGGAAGAGGGAGUUUUUGCCUCUGUUUCACAUAAGGCAGUUGUUAACAUGAGUGCAUUGUAUAACAGCUUCCCAGUAUUAACCACUACAAUGAAGUUGGAAUGUUGGUCUUUGAUUCAACAUAGCAAGGUCAAAAUGGAAAAGGUCAGGCCAUCAAGAGGAGGAAAAGGACUGAAGACUGAAGAUGAGAUGCUCUACUUCACACAGUUGCCCUCUGGAAGGACUUGCAAAGGCAGUCACUUAAAUUAAGUACAGGUCAUCAGACAAGAUAUCUAAUCUAUUCCUAAGACAGGCAGCUCCAGCAGUCCAAAUCCCUAUGGCCUUUGCAGCAACACGAUGAACUACUUCCUCAUGUACCUCUGUCAAUUCACGUUAGGUUGCAGUUUUUUUAAAGCGAUAUUUCAUGUACAUCAUGACCCUAUUGCUCAAAGCAAGGAAAGUGCUUUGGUUUAUUUAUGACCUACUAACCUUAAAUAAAAAAAAAAAAAAUACAUCCAAUCUGAAUGCUCACAUAAGCCUGCAGAUCUGAAAUAAAAUUUAAAAUAAAGCUGGCAUUUGUAACAGCUAGCUAAGCCCAAUAAGGGAUUUAAAAAAAAAUGAAAACCAGAUGAAAGAAGAUGAAAGCAUAUUUACCCUGCAUAACCUGCACACAUCAGGAAUCAGGGCUGGAACCCAGAAAUACCUUUCCUACUUAGAAGUUUCAGCCCAUUUCCACGGCUAGGUGACCAAGGAAAUACUGAUGUUUUCCAUGAUGGGGGGUGGGGAGGCAUUAGUAACAACCUGUGAAAGUAAUUCCUUCGAAGAUGUAAUCCACCCAGCCACAAACUCUCCUCUCCUUCCCCUGCACCCCAUCCCCAUUGCCAGAUAUCAGCCAGGCAAGCCUCCACACUGAAAUAUGAAGUGACAGAUGGAAGCAGGGAAUAAGGGCAUAGGAAUGAGUACUGAAAGAAAUGGCGUACAGAAAACAAGCUUAUAAUAGGGCAGAUCUUAAACAUGAGCAACCUAAAACAUAAAGUUAAUUCAUUUGGCUAGAACAAUGUUGAACAGAUGCACAUAAGACUGAGUUGGAGAGCCUUAUUCUCUCAUCACUCAUGCCAGUGUGCAGAGGUCUUCUCCUAACAUCCAUGGAAUUAAACCUUGGAAAUUGCAGUACAAAUAAAUGGAGAAAUAAAAAUAAUCACAGCUAAAGUAUUGGCAGCAAAUAUCCUGUGCUGCUGUAUUGGGAAAGAAAGGUGGGCUGCCACAUUAAAUUAAAAUGUAUUUGAUUUAGCUAUAUUCAUAAUCAAAGUGACCUUCAUAAACAAAACACAUCUAAUCCACCUUAAUAGUUGAUUCUGUUCCUGUCUACUUCUCCAGUAGGCUAUAUUAAUGACUUUUUAUUUUCGUUGUAUUAGAUGGAAAAUACAUUUGAGUUAAAUUAUGCAACAAAUACCUCUACAGAGAGCAACUAGUUGACAGAAACAGUUAGGACCAAGUCCCUGUCAUAGUGUUUGUUUACAAAAUAGGCUCAGGCAGCACACUGAUGAUCUUUAGUGUGGGUUCCCUUAACACAAGUACAGACAAACCCUCAAACAUUUUUAAAGCCUUAUAAAUAACAAUGGAUGGGAGAGAGUAGAGGGCAUCUCUAACCAAAGGAUAAGGUAAACAAACAAACAGCAAUUCAUGUAAGUCAAUGAAUCAGCCACAUAAUUUCAGCACACUAAAAAGUGGACCUAGCAGAAAAAAAUUCUGACAAGCUGAGCUUCAAGAACAUCUGCAUCAGAACUCUGCUCACAAAAGAAAAUAAGAAAGAAGCCUGGGAAACUGCCAGCUCCUUGCAGAAAGACUGAAACAUGAUCAGCAGAGAAGGGUGUUUGUUUCGACAUUUGAGGAUGCAGUCAAGUCAAUGGAGUUCUGUUGUAGUGGUUGCUUCAGUGAACAUUCAACGCUGUCGGCCUUAACACCGAAGAUAGCAACCUAACCAUCAUAUGAUGUUUCUCCCUCACCCUGCCAAGCUUUACAAAAAGGUCACAAUCAACAUUCAUUGCUGUCGGUGGGUUUAACUAUGUGGACAAGCUCACUGAACAAUGAAUGCAACUGUGGCCCCACAUUGUACAGUUGCUGUUGAGAGGAGCAGCAGCUCUGAAGGAAAUAGUGAGAAGCAAACACUUCUUAUAAGCUACAGUUGUCUGGUCAGAAAAAUUGUUUGGGGUAUCCACUUUUUGCUUGCUUGGUUUUGAUUGUAUUUAAUUUAGCAGACUAGAAAAAAAAAAAAAAACAAACCCCACUGCCUUUUUCUGGAGUAUUGUCCUCACAGGGUUCAGUACCAUUGAAAAUGUGAAAAUUCUUAUUUACUAUGUGUGCAGAAAAAAUAACAGGACAGGAAACUCUGUAUGUUCACUCCUAAGGAUUGUGGCAUAAGAGGAAAGAAGAUUUAAUUGCCAUUUAAGUAGGCAUUGUUGAAGAGUUCAAAAGUUUAUUCUAUACUUGUCAUGACAAAUACAACUGGGAACAAAUGGAAUUUAAGAGUUAUGGAUAAAAAUCUUAUAUAAAAAAAUUAAUUUUACAUUAAACUGAUUUUAAGAACACAAAUACUAUUGCAUUUGCUAUUUUUAGGGAUCUGAAAGAUGGUAAAGAAAUGUAUACCCAGAAAUAAUAAUGGAAAAGCUGUUAAAUUUUAAAGUUACUGUAAACUGAGUACCUAUGUCACACUCUGAGUUUUGCAAUAAGAAAAUAAAUGGUAAAUAAGCUCA